rnacentral:rRNA from 1 species
AGCUCCAAUAGCGUAUAUUAAAGUUGUUGCAGUUAAAAAGCUCGUAGUUGAACCUUGGGUCUGGUUAGCCGGUCUGCCUUUUUGGCACGUACUGGAUUUAACCGGGCCUUUCCUUCUGGCUAACCAACACUCUGUGUUGGCAAACCAGGACUUUUACUUUGAAAAAAUUAGAGUGUUCAAAGCAGGCCUUUGCUCGAAUAUAUUAGCAUGGAAUAAUAGAAUAGGACGUUAUGGUUCUAUUUUGUUGGUUUCUAGGACCAUCGUAAUGAUUAAUAGGGACGGUCGGGGGCAUCAGUAUUCAGUUGUCAGAGGUGAAAUUCUUGGAUUUACUGAAGACUAACUACUGCGAAAGCAUUUGCCAAGGACGUUUUCA